UGUAAUGAGCUUGAGGGCAGCUUAAUUUCGACUUAAGUUAAGGAUAAUAUAGUGA
rnacentral:tRNA from 1 species